UACAGAGGGUGCGAGCGUUAAUCGGAAUUACUGGGCGUAAAGGGCGCGUAGGCGGUUUGCUAAGUUGGAUGUGAAAACUCUGGGCUUAACCCAGAGCCUGCAUCCAAAACUAGCAGGCUAGAGUUCUGGAGGGGAUAGCGGAAUUCCUGGUGUAGCGGUGAAAUGCGUAGAUAUCAGGAGGAACACCGGUGGCGAAGGCGGCUAUCUGGACAGAAACUGACGCUGAGGCGCGAAAGCUAGGGGAGCAAACAGG
rnacentral:rRNA from 1 species